GCAGGAUACACUGGCCAUGUUGAUGGGAGACCACGAGAAGGAAGGAUGAACCAUAAACUGUCCUUGUGAUGAUAGAUUUUGUAGUAGACACCAGUGGAAAGAGGUUUUCUUGGCAGGUUUAUAAACAUAAACUUCUAUCAAUUUUUAACCAUUUCGUAGCAAUUGGAGAUUAAGACAUAAUCAAUGGUAUAGCUGAUGGAAAGAUGUAAUCGAUAUGCACGAUGAUCGAAAAGAGGCAAUUUCCUAUGAAAUUUGGAUCAUAAAUAGAUGCACAAAACACCUUCAGUGCCAAAAUUCGGUGUUUGGGAUGAAAAGGGUCCUAAAUCAGGAGAUGGGUUCACUGUUAUCUUUAACAAAGUUAAACAAGAGAAGCAAAAUGCUGCUAGUAAGCUUCCGAGAGUUCCAAUAGAUCCAACUAUUCAUCCAAGCAAGCGUAAGAAUCGCGCAAAUCCUGCCUCAAGGUCGAAGAUAUUAUGUUGCAUUAGACCCACCAUUGAUGAAUGAGUCAUGGGCACUGGCUUAAGGAGCAUCGACCACUCUGA